GAGGGUAUAGCUUAGUGGUAGAGCACAUGCUUAGCACACACAAGGUCCUGGGUUCAAUAUUCAGUACCUCCA
rfam:Camelus ferus unplaced genomic scaffold scaffold449, whole genome shotgun sequence.